rnacentral:rRNA from 1 species
UACGUAGGUGGCAAGCGUUGUCCGGAUUUAUUGGGCUUAAAGGGUGCGUAGGCGGUCUUUUAAGUCAGUGCUGAAAUACUCCAGCUUAACUGGAGGGGUGGCAUUGAUACUGGGAGACUUGAGUGUAGUCGAGGUAGGCGGAAUUGACGGUGUAGCGGUGAAAUGCUUAGAUAUCGUCAAGAACACCGAUAGUGAAGACAGCUUACUAGGCUACAACUGACGCUGAGGCGCGAAAGUGUGGGGAUCAAACAGG